rnacentral:rRNA from 1 species
CCUACGGGACGCAGCAGUGGGGAAUAUUGGGCAAUGGAGGCAACUCUUACCCAGCAAUGCCGCGUGAAUGAAGAAGGUCUUCGGAUUGUAAAGUUCUUUAAUUGGGGACGAAAAAAAUGACGGUACCCAAGGAAUAAGCCCCGGCUAACUACGUGCCAGCAGCCGCGGUAAUACGGAGGAUGCGAGCGUUAUCCGGAUUUAUUGGGUUUAAAGGGUGCGUAGGCGGAAUGCCAAGUCAGCGGUAAAAUCGCGGGGCUCAACCUCGCUCCGCCGUUGAAACUGGCGUUCUUGAGUGGGCGAGAAGU